UCUACUAUAAGAGCAGCGUAUGCAAAGGCAGGAUCAGGCUGAGGUGUAUGGGAAGAGUUCAUUGUUGAGUUUGCUUGGAACAUCUUUACUGUCAGCCUACAGGGUGAAAUUUUUGAGGUUCUAUUGCAUACUCUGAGACACGCAGUGUGGAGAUGAAUGCAGCAGUGUAAUGAAAGGACCCUGAUGUGCUGCCCAUAGCGUGUAACCCCGCAAGGUUUCUCGUGUGAGUAAAUGCCUGUGGACUUGAGCCAAAGCUAGAACUGAUUAGCCUGAGAAGACCAGUACUAUCACCAGACCGCGUGGUGUCAGAACAAGAUAAAACUGUACAGCUUCUGAAAUUCUGUUUAAUUGUACUUCCCAAGAGCUUGUUCAGCAAUGCCAAUACAUUAUGGAAUCGAUGUGGAACAGGAAGAAGACAAGCAGGAAACCCGAGUAGGCUGGGGAUGGACAAGAACCUGGAAGGGAAUACAGCAGAGACAACCGACCCCAACUGACCAAAGGAAUAGCCCAUACCAUGUAACAUUGUGCCCAGCAAUAAAACUGGGAGAGGCAGAGAGAGGGGUUAUUUGCCAGGGGUUGCUGUUUUUCAGGGACU